rnacentral:lncRNA from 1 species
UUCGAUGGCAUUGAGAAGGUGAAUCACAGUAACUAACUCAACGCAAGGAGUGCAAACACUUCAAGUGCUUCAGAAGUGUGAGCAAAGAGCAGGCGAAGACUAGUAACCAGCUCGAUGCAUGGAGUACAACCUCGAGGAGGCGGGCGAAGUCAAGUAAUCUUUGCCUUCUCAACUCUUAAGAGAAUGGGCAAAACCGAGUACCCCAAUUCUCUUAUCUAUCCAGCAGAGGAGCUCUGCACAAGUUCAAAGACCCUUCGAAGAUAAUGGAAGACAAUAGUUGUCAAAUCUUCACCAACGGUGAUCAGUGCUACUGAGAGUAGAUUGUUCGCUUCAUUUCCCAACGAAAUGCCAAUCGAAGGCGGAAGUGAUGCGAACCUACUUGGAUGUGACAACUAAGCGAAAGAAGAGUUAAUGAGCAAAUGUUGUGGAGGAAGGACCCAAAACUUCAGAAGUUUGUGAGACGAUGCUCGUUAAAGCUCCAACAAGCAUCCACCCAAUUCAAGCAACAUGAGGCAUUUGAGAGACUAGCGUAGUAAGAAUGGUCUUUUCCUUCAUUUGGGGGAUCCGCAGGAAUCAACAAGGAUCAACACAACUCAGCCAACCCCACACCAGAGUCAGAGUCAUUGGUGAGUUGAAGCAACAUGGCGGAUCAAAAGGUUCGACUACUCAAAAACAGCAGCGGGGAGCAGCUAGGAGCCAAGGUGCAUUGUAGCUGGAGCAGAAGAUUGAAGACUCAGCAAAAGCGAGGGGUUGCAGUGUCGACAAAGGCUUCAAUGAGGACGUCGAAGGAAUAAGUGGGGGAGAAUGUCACGGACAAACUUCUAAACAGGAU